GACAGAGGGUGCAAACGUUGCUCGGAAUUACUGGGCGUAAAGGGCUCGUAGGCGGCCAACUAAGUCAUACGUGAAAUCCCUCGGCUUAACCGGGGAACUGCGUCUGAUACUGGAUGGCUUGAGUUCGGGAGAGGGAUGCGGAAUUCCAGGUGUAGCGGUGAAAUGCGUAGAUAUCUGGAGGAACACCGGUGGCGAAGGCAGCUCGCUGGGACGUGACUGACGCUGAGACGCGAAAGCGUGGGGAGCGAACAGG
rnacentral:rRNA from 1 species